GCGACGGGACGGCGCUGGAGGCGACGCCGACUCCACCCUCCCGGCGGCGCCCCUCCGUCCAAGAGUUUAUCCCUCCAGCGGCGCCCUUCCGUCCAAGAGUUUAUCCCUCCGGCGGCGCCCCUCCGUCCAAGAGUUUAUCCCUCCAGAGACGCCCCCUCGUGCCAUUGAUCAUCUGGUUUCCCGAGAUGAACUGCACCCUCAGAUCCACGGACAGGAGCAGAUCUUUCUCUUCAAGCUAGUAGAAACUUUCCAACCGUCGUCAAAUCAGCAAUGACCUCGAAGAUGGCUGUUCAUGCACCAGUUCCGUCUUCUGUUCUUACAGAUGAUGUCUUGGUGCUGUUUUUAUCCAAGGACAGCAAGCAGAUGAGAGAGGAAUUCCUAGGCUACCUUCGACGCGAGCCACCUCUGCGUAAACAUCCUGUUCCAGGGGACAGCAGGUUACACAGCAGCAGCAUCCAGUCGUGCUACUAAUUCAACAGCUGCAGUUGUGGCCUGGAUGAUUGAGCUAAAUAAGCGGGGAUUUUCUUCGGAUGGCAAGCUGAAAGGGUCAGAUCUAGUUAUCGACCAAAUGGGACACCUCAGAGGUAAAUAUGAGCUUAUCCACAGGUUAUACAUUGUCAGUGCUCCAGGGACAUCAAAUGAUAUGGCCUCUGUUUCAAGAAUCAUUAAAUCUGAUGUCUACCAAUGUCCCCCAGUUGCCAGCUGAUUUUUUUUUUAGAAAGGAGGAUGACCCCCGGCCUCUGCAUCCGGGCGAUGCAUACGACCACUUUAUUAAUUAUUCUCACAAGACCUUACAAAGUCAUACAACAGUAAGACUAAAGCCGCCGUCUAAGCAACAAACUGUCGCUACACCUAUCCAGUUGAUGAAGGGGCGCAGAUAGCCUGGGCCUAAUACCAAACAGACAUCGCAGCCAAGCCUAACAUCUAAGACCCGAGACCCCAACCUAGCCACUUGCCGGGUCUGGGACACACACUGGUCCGGCGUGCUCUCAGAGGCCGCCGCCGCCAAUUGCCACCGCCCCAUCUUCAGAACUGUACUGAUGCAUGAACCUUGCUCGGUCCAGCUAUCGUCGACGCCACCACGGCGCCCAACGACACCUCCUCCCUGCGCGCAAACAGCUGAACACGUCGCGGUCGCCACUGAUACACCUCAGCGCCAUGCUGCCAAGUACCACCAGCCGACACAGCUUGAAGUCCUUGGAGGAUCUGUCGUGCGUAGCACCUGCCAACCAGGCAUGACCAAGCGUAGCACCUAUCGAUCAGGCAUGA